GCAUUGGUAGUCCAGUGGUAGAAUUCUUGCCUUCCAUGUGGAAGACCUGGGCUGGAUUCUCAGCCAGUGCA
rnacentral:tRNA from 1 species